AACUACACCAACUAGGACAGUGGUCAAUGUGCAGACCAGACCAGCCACUUCAACCACACAUUCCUCUCAAAAGCCUGAUGAACCCUACAUCCCCUUCGCCUUGGUCACUGUGAUCUUUCUCCACAUUAUAGUAGCUGUGGUUUAUCACACCAAGAGAACCAAAGAUCCUGCCAGAGUUACCUACAGCACUGCUGAUGGAGUGGUCAGUCUGGAUUAGUGUAUUUUUGCAACACUGGCAUGACGUCACCAUACAGAAGACAAAACCUCUUAAAAUCACGAGUGGAAGAAUUUCUCUGCUGGUGAUGUUCAUAAAGUGCCAAGAUAUGUAUCUUAUUUUUUAAGCUGAACUGCUAAUGAUACAAUUGUAAUAUUGCACAUUAAAUGUGACAUAAUAUGAUGUAUUAUUAUACAUGUAAUAGCAUAAUACUUUGACCUUUUAUGUGGCCACGACCUGCCAGGAGGCCCAAGGUUUUAUUACACACUUUUAUAAGCCAACACAACCGGCUUUCAUUAAAGUCCCUGUAGAGA